CAGGCAACAGUCGUCCUAAAGUGAGCGUCCUGCCGCCGUCCAGUGAAGAGAUUUCCACAAAGCAAACAGCAACACUGAUGUGUGUGGCCAACAAGGGCUUCCCCUCAGACUGGAGUCUGAACUGGAAGGUGGACGGGAUCAGCAGCAGGUCUCAGUACAGCAGUGUUGCUCUCCUGGAGAAGGACGGUCUGUACAGCUGGAGCAGCAGUCUGACUCUCUCUGAGCAGGAGUGGAGCUCAGUGAUCUCAGUCAGCUGUGAGCUCACACAGAAAGACCAGCGUGAUAAAGUCACUGGAGAAUUGAGGAGAGAUCAGUGUUCACAGUAGAUCCACUCACUCUCACAUC